rnacentral:rRNA from 1 species
GGAAUUUUGCACAAUGGCCGAAAGGCUGAUCCAGCAAUGCCGCGUGAGUGAUGAAGGCCUUAGGGUUGUAAAGCUCUUUCACCGGUGAAGAUAAUGACGGUAACCGGAGAAGAAGCCCCGGCUAACUUCGUGCCAGCAGCCGCGGUAAUACGAAGGGGGCUAGCGUUGUUCGGAAUUACUGGGCGUAAAGCGCACGUAGGCGGACAUUUAAGUCAGGGGUGAAAUCCCGCAGCUCAACUGCGGAACUGCCUUUGAUACUGGGUGUCUAGAGUAUGGAAGAGGUAAGUGGAAUUGCGAGUGUAGAGGUGAAAUUCGUAGAUAUUCGCAGGAACACCAGUGGCGAAGGCGGCUUACUGGUCCAUUACUGACGCUGAGGUGCGAAAGCGUGGGGAGCAAA